rnacentral:rRNA from 1 species
AGAGCGAACGCUGGCGGCAGGCUUAACACAUGCAAGUCGAGCGGGCGGUAGCAAUACGUCAGCGGCAGACGGGUGAGUAACGCGUGGGAACGUACCUUUUGGUUCGGAACAACACAGGGAAACUUGUGCUAAUACCGGAUAAGCCCUUACGGGGAAAGAUUUAUCGCCGAAAGAUCGGCCCGCGUCUGAUUAGCUAGUUGGUGAGGUAAUGGCUCACCAAGGCGACGAUCAGUAGCUGGUCUGAGAGGAUGAUCAGCCACAUUGGGACUGAGACACGGCCCAAACUCCUACGGGAGGCAGCAGUGGGGAAUAUUGGACAAUGGGCGCAAGCCUGAUCCAGCCAUGCCGCGUGAGUGAUGAAGGCCCUAGGGUUGUAAAGCUCUUUUGUGCGGGAAGAUAAUGACGGUACCGCAAGAAUAAGCCCCGGCUAACUUCGUGCCAGCAGCCGC